rnacentral:rRNA from 1 species
GACGAACGCUGGCGGCGUGCUUAACACAUGCAAGUCGAACGGAAAGGCCCUGCUUUUGUGGGGUGCUCGAGUGUCGAACGGGUGAGUAACACGUUAGUAACCUGCCCUUGACUUUGGGAUAACUUCAGUAAACUGUGGCUAAUACCGGAUAGGAGCUCCUGCUGCAUGGUGGGGGUUGGAAAGUUUCUGCGUUUGGGGAUGGGCUCUCGGCUUAUCAGCUUGUUGGUGGGGUAGUGGCUUACCAAGUCUUUGACGGGUAGCCGGCCUGAGAGGGUGACCGGCAACAAUGGGACGGAGAAAAGGCGCAGACGCCUACGGGAGGAAGCAGUGGGGAGUAUUGCACAAUGAGCGGAAGAAUGAUGCAGCAACGACGCGUGCGGGAUGAAGGCCUUCGGGUUGUAAACAGCUUUCGCCUGUGAAGAAGAGUGAGUGACGGUAAUGGGUAAAGAAGCACCGGCUAACUACGUG